GUGAAUCAUCGAAUUUUUGAACGCAAAUUGCACUCUCUUCUGAUAGUAUGCCUGUUUGAGUGUCAGUAUUAAUAAAAAUCGGUGUGUUGCUUCUUUUUGCCGCUCCGUAGUUUUGGUCAUCUUAAUAUCCUUUCGGUUUUAAUAGGCUUAAAAUUGACUUUUUUUGCGCAUUUUAGCUGUACAUAAAUUCUUUUUUUUAUUCUUCUUUCUUAUUGCUCAUAAUCCUCUUAGAUGCGCCCCUAUCUUGUGUUUUCGUGACUAUAAAU
rnacentral:misc_RNA from 1 species